GGGGACGACACAAAAUGUAUUGGCUGCCAUUACAUUUGAUUUGAAAUUUUCCUAUGUUCUAGCUGGUUGGGAAGGUAGUGCACAUGAUUCUCGUAUUUUAAGUGAUUCACUUUCACGUCCAGGAGGAUUAAGAAUUCCGGAAGGUAAAUCAUAUAAUGGGAGUUGAUCCUAGUGAUUUACUUAAUCAAGGAUUAUACGAGGCGUCUGAGUCUGAUUUGAUAAUACCAACUCUCACGAGCGAGAAGAAAGACAAGAAGCAAGAGAAUGGUGCGCUAAGAGAGAUGAAAUUGCACAAACUAUGUGGACUGAUUAUAUGGCUAGAAAUAUUUAGGUUUAGGGCUUAGGGUUGUUGUUUCUAUGUUAUGUAUGUUUUAGUAUUUAAAAUUUUUUGAAUGUUGUUUUUGUAAAUGUUGGUUGGAUAAUGAUAUUGAAAUUUUAGUUUGUUGGA